AUUGAACGCUGGCGGCAUGCCUUACACAUGCAAGUCGAACGGUAACGGGCCUUCGGGUGCCGACGAGUGGCGAACGGGUGAGUAAUGCAUCGGAACGUACCUUUCAGUGGGGGAUAACGUAGCGAAAGUUACGCUAAUACCGCAUAUUCUGUGAGCAGGAAAGCAGGGGAUCGCAAGACCUUGCGCUGAUUGAGCGGCCGAUGUCAGAUUAGCUAGUUGGUGAGGUAAAGGCUCACCAAGGCGACGAUCUGUAGCGGGUCUGAGAGGAUGAUCCGCCACACUGGAACUGAGACACGGUCCAGACUCCUACGGGAGGCAGCAGUGGGGAAUUUUGGACAAUGGGGGCAACCCUGAUCCAGCCAUGCCGCGUGAGUGAAGAAGGCCUU
rnacentral:rRNA from 1 species